GUGUCGUUCCGGAUCUCUCUGAUCUUGAAGACUGAGGAUACUGAGAAAAAAAAAAAAGGAGGAAGAAAGAAAGUCAGGAGACUGUAAUAAAAACGAAAAGCUAGGAUAUCUUGAAAAAGAAAGAUGGAGUUAAAACGGACGAGAAUAGUUAUUUCUGGCAUUAGAAACACUAGGCUAGCACUGCGGCAUUGGUGGUUCAGUGGUAGAAUUCUCGCCUGCCACGCGGGAGGCCCGGGUUCGAUUCCCGGCCAAUGCAGAAGUGAGCUUUCCUUUAACUUUCACAGUAUAAACGCAAAUAUUCCCUUUUAUGCAUAGAAUAUCUUUUACAUUUGGCUUGUGAUCUACUACGAAAAUCAGUUAACUGUGAGUGUGAAAAAGAGGUGUCACUGCCUAUAUAUAUUUGAUAUAAACAAGUACCCUGUUUAUAUUUGUGAGGGGGAAGAAAUAGACUCCAUGACCAAGUGUCUUAAUAGGGUACUCGUAACUUGACAAGGAAAAACAAUCUAAAGUUGAGUGUGGGGAGCAAAGUGACAGCCAGUCAGAAUGUCUGGAAAAAAGUGGCGUGGGAUGUACUCCUCUUGCUUGUUUGAGGUUCUGGGUUUGAUACCCCACAUACAUUCCUUCUUAAGAAGGCUAGGAGAUAGUACCAACACCAAAUGGGCUGGAUAAAACCUGGGUCAGAAAUGGUGCUAAUUCAGUGCAUCAAGGCAAGAAGAAUUUUUUUCCAGCUCAAGUUUAGAACAAGCUCCUAUGCUCCACUCCAUCCACCUUCCCUUGAUCCAUCAUAUCCUGGCUUGCCCCAGAAGUUGAAUCUCCUGCCCUGACAGUUGUGACAACGACUAUCUGGACCGUUAAGUUUUCUAGAAUGAUCGUUGGACCUUAGAACCUCCAUUCUUCUGAAGUUGGAUUUGGAUGGAGAGGAGCUGUUACAGAGUCAAACAAAAUUGCAUGUGAGUCCUCUGGAGUGAACCUGAAAGACAUUGACCCUGGGGUCUCAUCUGAAUUUUGGGUUCCCAAUUCUUGGGAGCAAGUGACUGAACUAAUCUUAGGACUGUCAGAGAAAAGAAGGAAGCAAAGUAGGAUUUAAGGUCUAAUCACAUUUAUCUAGCAACUUCUUGGGAAGAAGGCUUCCAGGGGUGAAUGAGCCCUCAUUUCUGUUUAACAGGUAAUGAAUGGAUAUUGAAAGGCUGAGGAAGAAUGUUAAUUGAUAAAACUAGAUUAUCUGAGAAUUUCAUUCCCAGUAGUUAUUUCUCAAAGUAUCUCUAAAGACUUUCCAAUGUAAGAAUCACUGUCCAAACUUUCAGUUGAGGAAGAUGAGCAUUCAAGUCAGCUAACUCAAGUGACAAUGAAGUCAGGACUUGGUUAUGGAAUUAUCUAUACCUUAUUUAAAUCUAGAUGUCAAACUUAAUCUCCAAACUACAAUUUAUAUUCUGAGUUUAAAGCUUAAUGUCUUGGAUCCUCUAUAAAUAGUACAGAAAGGACAGGACCACCAACUCCACAAGAACCUGCCCAUAGAAUCAACAGCAUGCAUCAUUAGAAUUGCUCAAGCAAAUUCAAGAGAGGAUUUAUGGACAGCCUGCUGAGUUAAAACAAGCCUACAGUUCUGCUAAGAUGGAUCUUGUGUUGCAUCAAGAUUUUAGUUUCCCGUAACAGGACCUCAAAUAGUGGAUUUGAAUUUUUCUUACACUGAAUCUUUUCAACAAACCACGGUACUAAUGAUUACCAGCAGACAGAAUAUACACACUGUACACUGAAUAUAUCUGCCAAAUCAGGUAUGGUGUUAUGUGACUCUCGAGUUUAGAAAGAAAACUUAUACCUAAAUAAGAAGAAAUAUUCACAGUGGACCGUGCACUGGAUUGGAAGUUUUAUUAUCUUUGGAUUUUACUUUAACCUUGUUACUUUUUAUACAAAUGUCUUAACUCCUCUGUGACUCAACUUUAUGUAACAGUUUCUUCCAGCUUGUGUUCUGUGAGUCUUUCAGAUUACUCAAAGCAUUCUGAAUCAUGCUGGACACUUGUCAGGCUUUUAAAAAAAAUGUCUGUAGGCUGAAAGUUGUGAAAGUUUUGAAAUAUUAUUUGAUGAGACAGACUGAUCUUUAAAUUUAACUGUAAUGAUAUCUCGAUAUAUUUAAUUUAGAUGGACUUAAUGACCCUAGGAACUAGAUUAUUUUACUCUAAUAGAGAAAAAGUGGAGCUAUAACUAACUUUUUCCAGAUAUAAAUUAUCUCAAUAUUUUAUGAGAUAUUGAUUAUCUGUGAAUAUUGUCAUUGUGUGACAAAUAAUAUGAUGAUGAAAAUUAUAAUUUAUCUCUUUUUAAAGUAGUAAUUCCUAAUCUACUAAAGAAAUUACAUUAUCUUGUUUGAUCUUCACAACAAUCCUGUGAAGUAGGUACUAUUUUUAUCUUUUCCUUCCUAAAAAAGAAGCGGAGGCAUCUGAGGCCUGGAGUUGAUAGGUUCAACCCCCACCAUCAGUAUAAGCCUGAGUUGAGCAGGAUUCUGGUAAACAAACAAUAAAGCAAAGAAACAGAAAAUAAAGAAAAAAAAAAAAAAGAAGAAACAGAGGCACCAAGGGGUAAAUGAGUUGCUUAAUAACACAAAAAUGGGUCUAGAUUCAAACCUAAAGCCUGGAUUAUAAAAAUAUUUCCACUUCCACUGUGGGUUGUUGAGAUGUAUUAAUUUAUAUCUCUUAUUGCAGAUGUUCUAAAUGUAUUUUCAGGUCUUAUAGGCUAUCUUUAUUUUUUCCUAAAAGGUGAUAGAAAUGGUUAUAUUUGCUCUCUAUUUGAGCAAAUCCUUCUAAUGAAUGAAAUAUUUUAAUUAAUUA